rnacentral:lncRNA from 1 species
AUCUGCCUCCUUCUGUGCCUGCCUGGCUGCCCCUACCCUGGGGCUCCCUCCUAGCCCCCACCUCACCUACUGGCUCACUGAGACAGAGCCAAACAUGAAAGGGAAGGUGACGGCCUGGCCAUAGGGCCCAGGAAAAUGCAGAUGCUGACGAUACGACAGUGAAUACAACAUGAAAAAACAAGCACACUUCUCACCCCUAUGGAGCUUUAUUCUGGUCAGGCAGAAGGAGAAGGAAAUGUAAACAUGCAAGGAGCAACUUUUUGGCACUCCCAUUUUGCAGAAGAGGAAACAGCCUGCCUAGGUCUGCUGAUUCCUGUCCUGGUGAGCUCACUGCCCCAUACUCCCACCCUUGUACACAAAUGGAGGUGCUCUUACAGAAGUUCUGAGCCUGAUUCUGCUGCUGCUUCUCCAGCUAACCUUAGGAUGUGUCCCCAUCGUUAGGUGAUGCAUGACUCUACUCUGACAUCCUCUCCAGCUUUCAUCUGUUUUUAUUUUUAUGAUGUGCUGAAGACAGGACAUUGUAUCUGCUCUUCCCUCUGUAAGUCUUGCCAUGCCCUUUGGCCAAAGGCAACUCAAAUAUGGACUUCCUACUGUCACCAUCAAGGUCACUAUGAUCUAAGUGUUUUUUAGGGCUUGUGCAGAGAAGGAAGAAGAUGCCCCCUGCCUUCUCUGCUCCCCAUCAUGUAGGAAAGAAGACACAGGCUGAGCCCCGGGAGGAGAGAUCAAAGCUUUGGAUCUGAAAGAGUGGUUCCAGCCCAGCAGCAUGAACAUGGCCUGGGAAUGUGUUAGACAUGCAGGUUCUCAGGCCCCACCCCACACCUGCUGGAUCAAAAACUCUGAUUUCUGCACUUGAGCAUACAUCACUCAAGUUUGAGAACCACUGCAUUAGAGAACAGAAACCCUCAACCAUAGCAUGCAGGAACAGCGAAGCCAUGAAGACACAUCCAGGUCUGAGGAAGUCAUUUUAGCCUGGAAAGGAAAAGAAGGAGGGCAUCAUCGGCAUAGGCCUGGGAGCCCCCCACACUCAGCACUCCUGAAAGCGCACAGACAGGGAGGUCUGGGGUCUGGAAAAACAACAGGAAUCUUGGGAAUUAUAAGGCUGAGAAGGAGGUGGGGAGGAGGCAACGUGCCUGGCUGCUGCUCAGUCCUCCUCACUGGCAGGGGGUCCCAGCAGCCUUGUUCCCCAGGCCCAUGCUGAAUUUGCUAGUGAUGCUGGCAUUCCCAGCUGUGGUUCGGCACCAAGGUCCAGUGACCCCCCUAGACCCAGCCCAGGGCCAUUUCCCUAAUAGAGACCUAACCAGAGGGCCAGAGUUUGGGGUGCUGACGCAUUGACUAUGUAAGGGCCCCGACCCACUACCCCAUCCACUGUCCUCCCAAGGUGCUGGGAUUACAAGCGUGAGCCACCGCACCCUGCCUGAAUCAACAUAUUGAAGGAAUAUGCAGCUGACCUUAGCAGAGACUUUCAGGAGCCUUUUGCUGGCUGUAGACCAGUCUAGACCAUAUGGUGGGCUGGCUUCUCCCAACAAACUCCUUGACAGACUCAGGCAGGUAUAGGGGAGAGGGGCUUGAAGGCCAAAUGAUCCCCCAAGAAACUCCAUAACAGACUUCUCUGCCCAAACAAAUUUGAGAAAUGAUAUGUUCAAAUGAAACACACACUCUGUUGGUGAGGCUGAGGAAACAGGCUCAAACUCAGCUGGUGGCCCAGUGACUGGGACCACCCCUUAAGGGGGACAACCUGAUGAUAUCUUUCAAAAUUAAAAAUGCACACGGUCUUUGACCCAGCAAUUCUACUCCCUGGAAUUUUUCCUGUUGAUGCACUCCCACAAGGAGCAAAUGACGUGUGGGGAAGGCUAUUUGUUUGCAGCAUUGUUUAUAAUAAUAAAAGUCUGGAAACAGCCCAGCUCUCUCAAAAAGGGUCUGGCAAAAUAACCUCAGGAGGAGCAGCGAACACUUAUUGAGUGCUUACUGCACACCAGGCACUGUCCUAAGCCAUUUACAAGCUUUAUCUUAUUGAAUCUCCACAAAAUGCUUCAAGGUAGAUGAUGCUGUUAUCUUUGGAUCACAAAUGAGGAAACUGAGUCACUCAGACAUUGAGUAACUGGCUCAACAUUAAACAACUGGCUUGAACGAGAGCAUUCUGCCUCCAAAGACUAUGCUCUUAACCACCUUAUUAUACAAUCUCUUCCAAAUAAACAUUUGAAACAUC